AUUGAACGCUGGCGGCAGGCCUAACACAUGCAAGUCGAACGAGUGGCGGACGGGAGAGUCAUGUCUGGGAAACUCCUUGAUGGAGGGGGUUAACUACUGGAACCGGUAGCUAAUACCGCAUACCAUCGGAUGUGCCCAGAUGGGCUUAGCUAGUAGGUGGGGUAACGGCUGACCUAGGCGACGAUCCCUAGCUGAUCUGAGAGGAUGACCAGCCAAACUGGGACUGAGACACGGUCCAGACUCCUACGGGAGGCAGCAGUGGGGAAUAUUGCGCAAUGGGCGCAAGCCUGAUGCAGCCAUGCCGCGUGUAUGAAGAAGGCCUUCGGGUUGUAAAGUACUUUCGGCGGAGAGGCGUUACCCGCAGAAAAAGCACCGGCUAACUCCGUGCCAGCAGCCGCGGUAAUUC
rnacentral:rRNA from 1 species